ACCAAUAUUCUGCAUUUCUACGUUUUUAUUGUGAACCUUAGAAAUAAGUUUCACCACUUUUAAUUGUAAGAGUUCCUCUUAUGGGGGGAUUACCGUAUGGGAAAUAAAGUAUUGUAACUGUAUCACGCUAUGUCAGUAUCUUUUUGAUUUAAGGUUGGAUACAUAUAAAGACAAAGUCUUUUUACAUCAAUUACUGUUACAACUAUCAAAUCCCUGCGGACAUUUGGAAACACCCCAUGAAGAUUGAAACUGGGACUCUUUAUUUAAUUUAUUCAAUAUAUUUUUGUUGUUGACCCAUAUACAAA